CAAUAGCGUAUAUUAAAGUUGUUGCAGUUAAAAAGCUCGUAGUUGGAUUUCUGAUCGAGACAUCAGGUCGGGUCCGAGAGGAUCAUGUACUUUGAUUUUGUUUUGAUCAUCCUUGGGGAGAGCAUUUCUGGCAUUCAGUUGUCGGGAUUGGGAUCCUCAUCGUUUACUGUGAAAAAAUUAGAGUGUUCAAAGCAGGCCUCGGCCUCUGAAUACAUUAGCAUGGAAUAAUAAGAUAGGACUUUGGUGGUCUAUUUUGUUGGUUUGCACGCCAAAGUAAUGAUUAAUAGGGAUAGUUGGGGGUAUUCGUAUUCAAUUGACAGAGGUGAAAUUCUUGGAUUUAUGGAAGACGAACUACUGCGAAAGCAUUUACCAAGGAUGUUUUCAUUAA
rnacentral:rRNA from 1 species